UUAACCAACUGAGCCAUCCAGGCAUCCUGAAAAGUACUUUAAAUUGAGAAAAGUUACAAUAGAUUUAUAUUAUUUCAAGGCUUUUUAUUUCUUCUUCAAAACAGGAAACAGAUCACUAUAGAGAAUAGUUUGUAGAAUUGAGGAGGAGAUUCUCCAGUGAAGAGAGUUCACUAUUUAUAAAAUGUAGGCAGAGACAGCAGAAGAGGAAGAAAAGAGAUUAAAGAGAAGAGGGAUAAAGGUAAAGAAAGAUCUGUAGGACAUGAGGGAAUGUGGGAUCAAGGGAGCAGUAAAGAAAUUGACCUGGAAAAAGAGAUAGGAUACUCCUCCCUGAGUUGAGAAGAAAGUAAGUAAAGAUAGUUACAUGUAUAACUUGUAAAUGUGGAACAAGAAGGUUAGGAGGUUCACAGCUUACAGUUUUGACUUUUUUUUUUUUUUCUAAUAAAGAAGAUGUUAAAGAAAAGGGCAUAGGUGAAGUAGCACGUUUGAAUUGUAGUAAAGUGGCAUAAAAAUAUAUGCUCUAAGGAAUGGGAGAGGGAAUUAGCCAGGGGGCAAAGUUAUUAUCAAGAGAGACUAAUGUACCUGGGAAACUAAGCUAGACAGGAAAAGAUAUGAAGCCAUGCUGAAGAUCGUGGUUUGAAAAAAAGAAAAGGGAAUAGUUUAGGAAUAGAGGGUAAAAUAAGAAAGCAGGUGUUAAGGGAAUAAGGGAGUGAAAAACUUGGAACAAUAAGUGAUUGUGGUCUGAGAUCAAUUGUAUUGAAGUCUAAGGCUGUGGAACAAUUUCCUAGUGAUCAAAGGUUGAGAAUAUGGGUCUGGGUAUGGAUCACUGAAUGAAGUGAUUGUAAGCUGGUGGAGUCCCAGAGUUCAAGGUUGUUGGAUGGGUUGUCCAUGUGGACACUGAAGUGGCACAUGAUGGCAGGAAAUGCAGAUACUGGAAGUCGGGUGCCAAAGUCCUCUAUAAAUAAGGGAGGGAAUGACUGGGCAAUUAAGUAAUGAGAAUGAAAAAGAGGAAUAAUAAAUUCCAAGAUUGCUGAAUAUGCCCUUUUUGCCCUCACAAAUCAAGUGUCACGAGGACAAGGACUUGCCUUAUUUAAUACUGCAAAUAAUUGUUGAUUAAUGGAUAGACAAAUGAUGACCUCUUCAUUUUGAAUAAGUAUUCAUAUUGAAUUAGUAUUUUUGGAAACUUUGGGUGUUUGUUGUUAUAUGCAGUUGCUACUAAAGAAUAAACAACAGGAUGAACAAGAUGUAGAAAAAAAUUAAUAAUCCAAACCCAGAAAUAACCACUGUUAACCCCCUUUAUUACAUUUUCAUACCUGUUUGUUGUUCAUCCUAGUAAUAAAUAUUCAGCUAUAAUAUCCUUUAAUGGCUGAGUAGGUAUUCCAAAUAGAAUAAGUAUAUACCAUAAUUUAAGCAGUUUCUUAUUGGGGGUACAUUAUAUAUAUAUGUUUUUCUAUUUGUAAACGGGACAAUCUAAUAACUACAUUUUUGCUUUUUUUCCUUAGGAUGCAGACUUACAAGUGGAUUUUCCAGUAGGAUCUUAUAGCCAGCCUAUUUUUCUUGUUUUUGGCUAAUUUCUAACAGGCUUAUUAAUGUGUAUUCCUAUUCUGUCCUGCAUGGGAAUCAGAAAAUUGGACAGUAUUGUAGGUACUUAAUGAUGUAGGCAUGCUGAUAGCCACAAAGUGAGAAUUGACUGCACUACAAAAAAUGUUAAAGAAAGUAAUCCAGACGGAAGGAAAAUGAUAUCAGAUGGAAAUACAGAUCUACAUAAAGGAAUGAUGAACACUGGAAAAGGUAACUGCAGGGUAAUUCCACAAGAAAAGACAGCAUGUUUCUACAGAGAUCUGUACAGGAAUAUUCAUAGUAGCUUUAUAUUUAACAGUCUCCAAUUUGAAACAACUCAAACGUCACCAACAGAUAAAUGGAUAAAUUGUGAUAUAUUCAUAUAAUGGAAUACUACUCAGCAAUAAAAAGGUAAUGAACUAUUAUUCUGUGCACCAGCAUGAUUAAUUUCAAAACAAUAUUGUGAGUGAAGAAAGAAAAUAUAAAAUUCUAGAAAAUGCAAACAGAUCUAUUGGGACAAAGGGCUGACAAACCAUUGGUUGUCUGGAGAGAGAAGUGCCAGGGGAGGAUUAUAAAAUGGCAGGGGAAAUUCUUAGGGUUGAUAGAUAUAUUCACUUCUUAUUCUGGUGAUGGUUUGACAGGUAUAUACAUGUUAACAUUUAUCAAUUGUAUACUCAAUCAAUUCUAUACAUGUUUAAAGUUAUCAAUUAUACACCUUAUAUAUAUGCGGUUUGUUGAAUAUCAGUUAUUUUAGCUUAAUACACUGAAAAAUGUAUCUAGAAAAUAAAGGAGGGGUGCCUGG